rnacentral:lncRNA from 1 species
CAGACAGGAUGGCAGAUCGUGCUGCGCUGGAGGAGCUGGUGCGACUCCAGGGAGCGCAUGUGAGGGGCCUUAAGGAGCAGAAAGCGUCCGCUGAGCAGAUCGAGGAGGAGGUGACGAAACUCCUAAAACUGAAGGCACAGCUGGGCCAUGAUGAAGGCAAACAGAAGUUCGUCCUCAAAACCCCCAAGUUUUCUCUAGGAGACACUAACUGGAAAAUACGGAGAAGACUCAAAGCUUAUCUAUGACCUGAAGGACCAGGGUGGGGAGCUGCUGUCCCUCCGUUAUGACCUCACUGUAUCCUUCUAAACCUGGGUUCUUAAGACUUUGCAGGAAUUCGCACUCACAGGAGUUGAACUUGGGUUUAGGGGCAGUGGGCACAGGUAAGAUUAAAUAUGAAGCCAUACCAUCUGUAAAGAGAUCGGAUGCCCUCUUCUGGUGUGUCUGAAGACAGCUACAGUGUACUUAUAUAAAUAUGAAGCCAUUGACAGUGAAAGGAAUUUUUUUCUCUAAAGCAAGAUAAAGGACUUUGGGUAAGCAGAAUACAGUACAGCCUUAGAAAUCGCCAGUGUUGCCAGGUGGUGGUGGUGCAAGUUCCGGGACAGCCAAGGCUACAUAGAAAAAACCUGUCUCCCCACUCCCCACAAAAAAAACCAAAAACCCAGCUUUCUGUCAGGACCCUGUUCCCAAUUUUACAACAUUCUCCCGUCUCAAUAACAAAAGUGGACAGACUUUUCUGUGAU